rnacentral:rRNA from 1 species
GACGAACGCUGGCGGCGUGCCUAAUACAUGCAAGUAGAACGCUGAAGGAGGAGCUUGCUUCUCGGAUGAGUUGCGAACGGGUGAGUAACGCGUAGGUAACCUGCCUGGUAGCGGGGGAUAACUAUUGGAAACGAUAGCUAAUACCGCAUAAGAGUAGAUGUUGCAUGACAUUUACUUAAAAGGUGCAAUUGCAUCACUACCAGAUGGACCUGCGUUGUAUUAGCUAGUUGGUGGGGUAACGGCUCACCAAGGCGACGAUACAUAGCCGACCUGAGAGGGUGAUCGGCCACACUGGGACUGAGACACGGCCCAGACUCCUACGGGAGGCAGCAGUAGGGAAUCUUCGGCAAUGGACGGAAGUCUGACCGAGCAACGCCGCGUGAGUGAAGAAGGUUUUCGGAUCGUAAAGCUCUGUUGUAAGAGAAGAACGAGUGUGAGAGUGGAAAGUUCACACUGUGACGGUAUCUUACCAGAAAGGGACGGCUAACUACGUGCCAGCAGCCGCGGUAAUACGUAGGUCCCGAGCGUUGUCCGGAUUUAUUGGGCGUAAAGCGAGCGCAGGCGGUUAGAUAAGUCUGAAGUUAAAGGCUGUGGCUUAACCAUAGUACGCUUUGGAAACUGUUUAACUUGAGUGCAAGAGGGGAGAGUGGAAUUCCAUGUGUAGCGGUGAAAUGCGUAGAUAUAUGGAGGAACACCGGUGGCGAAAGCGGCUCUCUGGCUUGUAACUGACGCUGAGGCUCGAAAGCGUGGGGAGCAAACAGG